rnacentral:rRNA from 1 species
UACGGAGGGGGCUAGCGUUGUUCGGAAUUACUGGGCGUAAAGCGCGCGUAGGCGGACCUGCAAGUCGGGGGUGAAAGCCCGAGGCUCAACCUCGGAAUUGCCUUCGAUACUGCGGGUCUCGAGUCCGGGAGAGGUGAGUGGAAUUCCUAGUGUAGAGGUGAAAUUCGUAGAUAUUAGGAAGAACACCAGUGGCGAAGGCGGCUCACUGGCCCGGUACUGACGCUGAGGCGCGAAAGCGUGGGGAGCGAACAGG